rnacentral:rRNA from 1 species
GACGAACGCUGGCGGCGUGCUUAACACAUGCAAGUCGAACGGAAAGGCCUCUUUCGGGGGGUACUCGAGUGGCGAACGGGUGAGUAACACGUGAGUAACCUGCCCUUGACUUUGGGAUAACCUCAGGAAACUGGGGCUAAUACCGGAUAGGAGCUCCUGCUGCAUGGUGGGGGUUGGAAAGUUUCGGCGGUUGGGGAUGGACUCGCGGCUUAUCAGCUUGUUGGUGGGGUAGUGGCUUACCAAGGCUUUGACGGGUAGCCGGCCUGAGAGGGUGACCGGCCACAUUGGGACUGAGAUACGGCCCAGACUCCUACGGGAGGCAGCAGUGGGGAAUAUUGCACAAUGGGUGGAAGCCUGAUGCAGCAACGCCGUGGGCGGGAUGACGGCCUUCGGGUUGUAAACCGCUUUCGCUCAUGACGAAGCUUUGUGUGACGGUAGUGGGUAAAGAAGCACCGGCUAACUACGUG